rnacentral:rRNA from 1 species
ACUUAAAUUGAAGAGUUUGAUCAUGGCUCAGAUUGAACGCUGGCGGCAGGCCUAACACAUGCAAGUCGGGCGGUAGCACAGAGAGCUUGCUCUCGGGUGACGAGCGGCGGACGGGUGAGUAAUGUCUGGGAAACUGCCUGAUGGAGGGGGAUAACUACUGGAAACGGUAGCUAAUACCGCAUAA